GGAUCUGGAGCUGUUCAUCCACCAGAGGGCGCUGGAGGCUUUGUUCCAUCUGAGGGCGUCUCCUGACCUACGCACCUGAAACCGUUCUGCCAUCAGGAGCUGUAUAACUGGAGGAGGCUGCUGACACUUCCCUGCCAGAUUGUUAGCCAGUUAUGCGGAUUGUCCUAUGACGUGCUGAAAACAGAUCCAGCCCAGGACCCUUCCGGACCUACAGAUCGGCAGCCUUGCUUCUGGCAGAACAGUUCAGGCUUCCAGACUUACCUGUCCGUCCUCCAACGCCACCGCAGCCCGCAGUCCUCCGCGCCUCAAACAGACUCCGGAUUUCCCAGGUUUUCCCCCCCAGUCCUUUCUCCUCCCGAUCGGAGGUAAGCUCUCAGCCAGCGCCAUCUCCAAAUUUCCACGACCCCAAACUUACCGUCUGUUUCUUCCAUAGCUGACCUGAGAUCCAGUCCCAAACGCUCCCGGAUUGUUUACCAGUUUUUUCCCCCUUUGUUGUAAUAAAUCUCUUAAAUCAUU